UAAGGAAUAUUGGUCAAUGGACGCAAGUCUGAACCAGCCAUGCCGCGUGAAGGAUGAAGGUCCUCUGGAUUGUAAACUUCUUUUAUCUGGGACGAAAACGGGAUUUUUAUCUCAAUUGACGGUACCAGAGGAAUAAGCACCGGCUAACUCCGUGCCAGCAGCCGCGGUAAUACGGAGGGUGCGAGCGUUAUCCGGAUUUACUGGGUUUAAAGGGUGCGUAGGUGGGCUUAUAAGUCAGUGGUGAAAUCUCCGAGCUUAACUUGGAAACGGCCGUUGAUACUAUAGCUCUUGAAUUAGCUGGAGGUAAGCGGAAUAUGUCAUGUAGCGGUGAAAUGCUUAGAUAUGACAUAGAACACCAAUUGCGAAGGCAGCUUACUACAUAUAAAUUGACGCUGAGGCACGAAAGCGUGGGGAUCAAACA
rnacentral:rRNA from 1 species